rnacentral:rRNA from 1 species
UCGAGAAUUUUUCUCAAUGGGGGCAACCCUGAAGGAGCGACGCCGCGUGGAGGAUGAAGGCUUUCGGGUUGUAAACUCCUGUCAUUUGAGAACAAUGGCUACGCGUUAACUGCGCGGAGCUUGAUAGUAUCAGAAGAGGAAGGGACGGCUAACUCUGUGCCAGCAGCCGCGGUAAUACAGAGGUCCCGAGCGUUGUUCGGAUUCAUUGGGCGUAAAGGGUGCGUAGGUGGCGCCGUAAGUGGGGUGUGAAAUCCCGGGGCUUAACCCCGGGACUGCAUUCCAUACUGCGGUGCUUGAGGACUGGAGAGGAGACUGGAAUUUACGGUGUAGCAGUGAAAUGCGUAGAGAUCGUAAGGAAGACCAGUGGCGAAGGCGGGUCUCUGGACAGUUCCUGACACUGAGGCACGAAGGCCAGGGGAGCAAACG